rnacentral:lncRNA from 1 species
AAAAUUCACACUGCAGUAUGUACAGUUUCAUGACAUCACAUGAAGAAAUUAAAUUUCUAAUAAAAAUGACAAAUUAUAUUACUAAGCAGAUUGCAUCAAAAUUGGUUGUGUAAACCCCAGAAUUCAUAUCAUGAAUGGUAAUGUGCCUGUAUUCCAGCAUACUGGAACACUCUUGGUAUAAUGUUACAUUUCCAAUGGGAUUAAAAAAUUCAUGAAAGUAGUUGUCUGAACUCUUUAUGUUGAAAAGUGGUUGACUUGAUUUUAAAAAGUUUUAAGACCCUUGGAUUCAAAGCACAUUCUUUCACAAAGCUUAAACCACAGAAGUCAUGUCCGGAAAUGGAAUACUGUCCUGUUGGGACGGACAUCUGAUCUGACUUGUUAAGACAUUUUGCCAAAUGCACAGACGCACAGGGUCCCCCAUGCACUUUUCAUGCAGCAGGUAAUCACAACUUAAAUAAAGGGUUUAUUCUAUACAUUUGUCCAGACUUGCAACUGUAUACACACAUGCACAAUUUUUAAGCCUGUCUGAUUAUAUUUACACUUAUACAUGGAAUAUACAGAAACCAAAGAGAUUAAAAGGCUUUUCUGUUGCAUUAGAACAAUACAAAAUAUGUAUUUUUCAUUAAGGAAAUCACUAUUUACAUCACCUUUAAAAACUGAUUUUAACAUCUUCAUGUAACAAGUCAAUAUAUAUAUAUAUACAUAUUAUAUAUAUAUAUAUAUAUAUAUAUAUAUAUAAAAUAUAUAUUCUCACCAGUUUACUCUUCUGUAAGAUGUACCAGAGAAUAAACAGGUAAUGCUACCUUACUGAUGCCAAUGAGAGCUGUAGUACCCUUUCACAAAUGACUUCAUUAAGAAGAAAUUGUCUAGAUAUCUAAAAUAGUCCUUGAAAACGUGUGUAUGUGCAUCCUUGUAUCUACAUAUGCAUAAACAAAGUGGAUAUGGAUGUAUGCCCUUUCUCACCACUCUUCUUUAAAAUCACCCUAAACUCAAAUUGGGGACAUUCUCCAGUACAUCAGAACAUCAUUCUUGUGGUCGUGUUUAUCUACGUAUUAUAUACCCUCAUCCCUUUAACUGUUAAUAAUGAUAACAAAACCAACCAACCAAAGAAACAAACAAAAAUGUAGCAAUGCUGGCCCUUGAUGUCCUUUUCCUUGACCUAAAUUUCACUCCUUUGUAAAAGCCUCUUUUCCCCUAAUCAAAAGGGAAUACCAACAAUUUUUCUAACCUACCUCUAAGGCUCCAGACUUUUCAUAAUGGCAGGAAAAAAAUGACUUGCUUAAAAGCUCAUUUAUAUUGUCACAAGAUUGUCACAGAGUAAAUAUGGGAUGGAGUAGAAUAUAUUCACUGGCCAGUGGAAUUUCCAUUUCAGAAUAAGCAUAUGCCUUCAUCUCUCCAUGAUGUAGCAUAAUAUUCACUCUUGACUACUGCUUUAUAAUAUAUCCAGUAACUAUUUACAAAUCAUUUUGAGAAAAAAUAAUCACUUAGGGUUUUGGAUCAUAUUAGGAAAUAACGCCCAUUUUUAAUAUAAAAAUCUUAGAAACAACUUCAAGUAGAACAACUUCAAAUAGAUAUCCUUCUAAUUAAUAGUUGAUUAUGUAACGAUUUUUUGAUAGGUCAGUUGCAAACCUGGUUCACUUUUAAAAACAAAAAUAUCUGGUGAAUGAAUGGUGGACUGUAAAAACUGCACUUAAACAUACGGAUUCGUUUCAAGAUCAAAACCCCAUGUGGCUCAAUAGUAAGUUCUUCCAAGAUAACACCCGUGUUUACUUUUAAUUACUAUUUUAAAAUAAUAGAUCCAAUGGAGUGGUUGUGUACAACUCCUGUCACGCCAUGCCUUUUCUACUUUUCUGUCAGUCAAUCUGAGUUUAGUGCCAUUCGUGGGUUUGAAGUAAGUAUUUUCACCUUUGUCAGCAAUGUUCUUAGGACAAUGAUUUUAAUAGAAAUUAAGGAUGUAUUCAGGAGAAGUGUCCAAACCAUCCUGGAAUCACCUGAGUUUGGUAAGUGGCCCUGUUAUUCCAUCCCUAAGGCUAAUUAAGUAGAUGUUACUCAUUAGAACACAUAAAUAAUCACAGUUUUUCCUGAGAUGUUGAGCCAGAUAUGAAAGUUGUCCCCUCCACCCAAUUUUUUUUUGUCAUAAAAAGUAUUCUGAACCCGAUUUCCAAAGACAUAGCGGUUAUAUAUGAACUACAAUAUUGCAAAUUUUGGGUUGAUGUAUAACUGUACUGGGGAAAAUAUAGGCAUCAAAUAGGGUUUUUUUUUUUUUUUUGGUUUUUUGUUUUUUUUACAAUCCUGUGUUCUGAGAAAAGUCAUAAGCAAUGGUUCUCAAACUUCAACAUGCAGAAGAAACAUCUGGGGAGUGUGUUAAGAUGCAGAUGGGAGAUUCCCAGGUCCACUUAGCACAGAUUGUUGUUCUGUAGAUCUGAGAUGCCGUCUAGGAAUCUGCAUUUUAAAACAAGUGCUCCAGAUGAUUCGAAUGCAGGUGGUCUGAGUCCAGCUUUUAAGAAACCCUGGUCAUAAGACUCACAGGUACCACAGAAAUGGUGAGAAGUAAGUUUUACAAGAGAUGGUGAAAAUUGUCCAAAGAAAAGCCAUUUUGCUUCUGUUAAAAACUACUUCUUAAAUAUUCAACUAUUCAGGAAACCACCUGAAGAUAAAUGUUAACUUCCUAAUUCUGUAAAAGGAGGAAUAUUAAUUUAGUAAAGUAGUUAAAAUACAAAAAUGGAAAUCUGCCUUUUUUUUUGUUUUUAAGGAUCUAUCAAACUUCCAUCAGUUGUAAUCAAUUUUUACUAAGUAGUACAAGGUUUAAAGAAUUAGGUAUUGAAAAGGACUGGGGUGGGGUAGACACAUUGGGAACCACAAAACCCCUUCCAAGAGUUAAAAAUAAUUUUUUUUUUUAGUAAAAGUGAAAAAUGUAAGCAUAUUUUUUCUGUUUUAUUUU